CUCAUAUUGUUGGGGUUUUUUUGUGCCUAGAAUCUCCUUUCUUCUGGAUUUUAUUCAUAUGUCAUGCUUUGUAUUAAGUGUUAUUGCUUUAGCAAUUAAGAUAAUUUCCUCACUGCUCUCUGCCUGUCAGAGCGUUGCUCUUUGUAUUCCUAAAAGAAAUGACGAAUUAAGUUUAGGUACUGGUGGCCCCAUUUACUCCCCACUGCAGUCCACUGAAGUUCUCCCAGUGCUAUUAGUAGGGGCAGACAGUUCAGGGAGCACUGGGAAAUGAGCAGUAAAUACAUCUCCUGUCAAUAAAUAAAUAAAUAAACAAAUAAGCAGCUGCAAGUCCAUCAACUUUCUGUUACGUAACAUUAUUUUCAACAACAAUAAUACACCUACAUUUCUAUCAUGUCUUUCAUUCCAAAUGAAAUUUUACCACCAUAGUGUUUCAGGAACAUGUGCAUUUUUGUGUAGUUAUACAUGAUUUGACAAGAAAAAUAUCCCUUUCAGUGGAGCCUGACAGAAAAAUGAAAUUUCAAGGAAAUAAAACAUCUUGUAACUCAAUUAGAGGUUUAAAAAAAAAAAAAAAAGAAAGAAAAGAAAAGGAAAAAAAAAAAGAAAAAGCCCACAAGAACUUUUCAAAGAGAGAAAUACUUUCAUUUCUUCAGAACAAGACAGCCAUUUUAGGAUUUUCCAGUACUUUGUUUUCCUUUCUUCCCUCCCUCCCUCCUUCCUUCCCUUCUUUCCUUCCUCCCUCCCUCUCUCCCUCCUUCCCUCCCUUCCUCUCUCCCCCCUUCCCUCCUUUCUUCCCUCUUUUUCUUCUUCCCUCCCUUUCUCUUCCUUUUGCUUUCUCUCUUCCUUAUUUCCUUUCUUUCCUUCUUUUUUAGAAGAAACAGAAGCACCUAGAAGUAUUCAAGCCCCUAGAGGAUAUAAAAGACCAUAAAUAGUAGCAUGUGAUAUUUCCUUGGGUGGAGAAUAAUUCUAACACAACACAUUCCUUUUGCAAGUUAGGGUAUGCCCCUGCUGCAGCACCAGGAUAGGUCCUGGGGUGGUUAAUCCAGGCCAAUAUCCCACUUCCAUGGCAGUGCUUCUCCUCUGGCCCCCACAUCUGGUGUCUGGACCACCCCAGGCAUGCUGUGGUGUGAGCUGCAGACAGAAGAUGCUCUGAACAUUCCCACGUUUCUUCUGGAGCUGCCUGGAAUGGACUACAGCUCCUCAUGAGAUGCCCACAGUUGAAACAGUCUGAAUCAGUUAGACAUGGGAGUAUCAACUGAAAAUUUGUAUUUUCAAAAGAAUUGGAAUGGCGACCACUAUGAAGACAGAGAGUGUAUGGGAACUGUUGAAUCACGGCCCGAACCUCUGAUUGAUCAGCCAAGGUGAGCACUGAGUCAGCCGCAGGAGCACAGGUGAAGGCAAUUCACCUGUGUGACUGGAAGGGAUGGAGCCUGGCUGCACCUCUCCCAGACUCCAUUUAAGGGCUGACUGCCACUGAGGAAGGAUCGCUUUCUGGAGGUUGCUCCUCUUGGAGUUUUUAUUUGUGAGCCUAUGACACAGACCUGGUGUUGACUCGUGAAGCCUGUGGAGAAACCAUUAAAUAGAUGUCAGACUGCUGGAACAUGUCUCUUCAGUGUCCUACCACAGAUCUGAAAGCGCACUGCCAAGAAGCUGCCUUGGUAAGGAUGAGUAGAUGACAGGUUCAUAUUUCACCUCUUCUCUCAUUCUUUAGGUAUAUAUGUGCUCCCUGUGGCUUCACAGCCUUCAACAAGGAGUGAAACCUCAGGUGGGCGGUACAGGUCCACCUGCAGCCCCCAUUUGGCCUGGCAAGGGGCUGCUCCUUCCUAACAAGAAUGAGAACCAGGUGUCUGCCAGGCACAGCAGCACCUGAGAUUGAAAAGCAUUAAAUAUUUUGUUGUUUUGUUUCUUUUUCUUUUUCUUUUUCUUUUUUUUUUACUAAAAAUCCUCUGUGAAAUUAGAAGCCACUUUUUCUGAUUGAUUGUUUGUUUGUUUUCAAGUACCUGAGACUGAAAUGCAGCUAACAGUCAUUCUUAGUAUGGCUUGUAUUAUGAAACAACAAAUUAUUUUAAUUGCUCUAGCAAUUCCCUUCCCAUUGCUGUAAACAAAACGAUUUCAAGCAGCAGCAGCAGCUGUCUGAAUCAUGUUGUACUUGAUAGAAGAGCUCCUCUCUCUGCUCAGGGCUGGUGCAGAGGCUGUCUGAAGCCAGCCAAGGGAUGCUGCUGAGGUAGGGACCAACUUCCUGGUCCUUUACUUUACUCUCUCCUCGCCUGGCUCUCUUUAUACAGACUCACCUUCACCCCUUCACAAUGGCAUAUAUUUGUGAACUGUUUCAAUGCUUUGUAUUUGGAAACGGUUUUAGGAAUGGGAAAAGCAAGAGAGCUGUGCUGGAAAAACACAGAGACCCCUGCUCUGUCUGAAUUAUUUAUAGAUUAAAAUACUUUUCUGAGGUUUGGAGAUUUUUUUUUUCCUUGAGCAAGUUCAAGAGAAAGCAGACUGUGUCCAAAGGAGUUGGAACAAAAUAUAGUUUCAUGGGAAAAUCCUGUGGAUUUUCUCUUCAGAUGUGCUGAUCUAUAGAUUGAUGCACUCAAGGCAUAACACAAGCAUUAUGAAAACACAGCCCCAGCACUGCAGAACUGGCAAAGCUUCCUCUGUUAUUGUUGACUUGGAGCUAACAACUUGGAAAUUAUUGAUGUAAAUGCUUUAUUAUCGAUUGCACAAUUAAGGCAUGAGUGGAGAAAGGAACCUGCAGCCAGCUAUGGUGUUCGGCUUCAUGUUUUAUGACUCAGAAGCACAUUAUUUAUCUCUGUGUUGCUGCUGGAUGAAACUGAAGAGUGUUUUUAGACAUCAUUUCCCAAAGAUUUUGUCCCUUAACAAGUAAAAUGCUUCGGAUGAAUAUCCAGUCUUAAGCCAGUAGCGCUAUUACAUGGGGACUGCACUUAUGCUUUCAUCUUCUGAAUGUUUACUCAUAAUGCUGUAGUUAACUAAAUACCUCUUUCUCCAUGAGCCUAAGAAGUCUGCGUCGUUGAUAAACAAGUUCUUUUGCUGAGCCUUUGAAAGCUCCUCCAUGUAAUUAAUGUUCAGGUAAAAAUGUAAGAGAUAAAGAAGAAUUUUUCCAGACACUUCAGGGUUCAGAGAUGAUAACACUAAGACUGUUCUUCCAUCCAUGAUAAUUUUUGUGGGCUACACUCUGACCAGUAUAUAGCUUAAGUUGUGUGAAAACAAACAGGUGUUAUUUAAAAGAUGUAGUAAGGUUUCUACAAAGCUGGAGGAGUAUCUGUUUCUCUUUCUACAUCUCCUGUAGUGUGAGUGGAAUUGCAAAUUUGUAGAGGAGACUAUGGUCAAAAUUUGGGCACAAAUCCAAGAAAUCCUUUGUGUCAACUGGUACAGGCGGUUUUUAGUUAUGUAAACAAAUAGACACUUUGGAAUCAAUUUGUAUAGUGAAUGACAUUGCAAAACUAAGGUGCUUCUCAAAUAUACGUAGUGAGUUGAUUCUGAUGACAGCAAGACUACAGUCUUCCUUGAUGCAAGGGAAAACAAUACAGAGAACAUUUGGGAAAGAAUGGAAGGUAGAUUCAAUGAUAAUUGUUUUCUACUAAAAUAAGAUAUGGAAGUGAAUGUAAAUUUUUUUUCUGUGCCAAAUUUUAUUGCCAAUGCUAAAUAAGCUGGAACUGUGAAAACUAAAACCUCUUUCAAAGAUAACUCAAUUAAUUUGUAGUACUUACUGUUGCUGAUUGUAGCAGCAGUUUCACUUUGGACCUAACACUGAUUUACUGUGGUGGCUGCAUUUGUUCAGCUGAGAUAAAGCAGAAGAGACAUUGUUUGUAAUAACUUCGUCCAUUAAACUCAUAGCCUGUACUGUGUACCACAGAUGAGCGUCCAAUAGUCUACAUAGUUCGGAUUACUAAACGAUUCAGACACCAGUCUGGGCUUUGUCCCAUAAUCAAUAAUCAUCCAUCCUUCAUUUUUAUUGCUAUCUAAGCAUAACUACUAAAUAGAUCUGGUGAGAGAUGUUUACCACUGCCACCACUAAAAUAUGUCCAACAUCCUGCCCAUGAUACAGCAACACUCUUUUUUUCUUUCAAAACAUUUUCAAAGAGAUUUGCUAUAUUGAUGAAGUAGAUUUGCCUUUAAAAGCCAGAAAACUAUGUUGGGAAACCUCAUGCAGCUAGUUUAGAGAACAUCUUUUUACUUAGUUAUUUUCUGAUUGCAUAUACGUUGCAGCCAAAAAGCUGAACUGUAGAUCUGAAUACGUACAGGCUUUGUAGGUUAUGAUCUGAAUUCAAGUUUGGAUCAGAAUGUGAAUUUUGCAAAUCUUUUUUUGUUUCUGUAUGAAAAAACUCUGAAGCCAAGAAUACUCAUAUUUUAAACACUACAAAUUACAUGGGAUAAGCCCAUUACUAAGCAAAACCAGAAUUUACAAUCUAUUACAUGGAGAACUGAAGAUUCUCUUAUUAUUGGCAUUGUAGGUAUUAAUUUGGGUUAAUUAUUCUAUCAUUAUUACAUUUGUUUUAAAUUAUUAGCUUUUACUUUCUGUUUUUCAUUUGUUUGCUUACCUGUGCUGAUUCAAAUUAUGUGAUUGUUCAUGUAGAUUGCAUGGAAUUGUCUUCAUAUAGUCUCAUACUUUUAAAACAGGAAAAUUACAAGCAAAACACUUUUGGCUCUGACUUUUCUGAUGCAGUCAUUUGAAUUAAAAUUACAAAACUUUAAGGGUUCUGUGGACGCUUAUAAAUCACUUUGCACUUUUGAAUACUUGUAGUAAAUAAUAUGAUCCUGUGAUUCUAUGAUUAGCCUUAUUUAAAUUUAAAUUAAAAAAUCUUUUCUAGACAUACUACUCAUUCAUGAAAAAUCAGAAAGAGAUUUGGUAGUGUUAUUUAUUUGUAGUUAGUGGCCAAUAAUAGGAAACAACCAUUCAGAGUUGCUUUUUUGUAUAUUUGGGGUGUUAAUGAUGAGUUCAUUGGUUAGGGGUUAUGAAUGAAUAUAUUCUGGGCUUUAAUGUGAGUUUACUUUCUCCUGCUGAAUUCUGUUCAGAUUUCUGAAAAGCAUUUGCUCCUUCAAGUGAACCCCUGUAAAAGCACAGUCUCUGCUACAUGUGAAUAAGGUUGAAGGCAAAACUUGAUUUAAAAUUUUAUUUUUGUUCAAAACCAAAACCCAGAGGAGCAGAUUUUUUUAAGUGUAUGGGAACUGUUGAGUCACGGCCUGAACAUCUGAUUGAUCACCUGAAGCAAGCACUGAGUCAGCUGCGGGAGCACAGGUGAAGGCAAUUCACCUGUGUGACUGGAAGGGGUGGAGCCUGGCUGCACCUCUCCUAGACCCCAUUUGAGGGCUGACUGCCCCUGAGAAGGGAUCUCUUUCUGGAGAUUGCUCCUUGUGGAGUUUUUGUGAGCCUACAACACCGGUGAGCACCUUUCAUUUAUAUCUGAUUAACUUUUCUGAUGCGCUAAUCUUACGAAUGUAAUAUCUCUGUAUACUGUAUAACAUCUGUAUACUUAUUAACCAUACACUAGGUUUCUGUCAAAAAUGAGAGCAGUAAUGAAAAAACCUGGGUUACUUAGGUGUAUUUGAGAAAUUCACAGUGUAUUCAGGUAAGUUAAUAUAGUUUUUAUUUCAGUAGGUUUAAGCCUAGGUAUUCUAAGGGAAUCUUCACUAAGUUGAUCAUCUUCUAAAGAAACACUCUCAGUAGUAUCUCUAGAAUGAAAAUUCAUCUCUCUUAUCAGAUUUUCCAACAGAUAUUCAUCUGCAGAUCAAGAAGUAAAGUUAUUUUCUUGGCCUGCAAUUUAGACAAAUGCUAUGUACAGGCAAGGGCUGAAAGACUUGUGCUUUGAUUGUACUGGAGUUUGUUACCUUGAGGCCAUUCUCAAAAGGCUUGGAUUACCCUAGGGAAAUAGGGGUUCAAUAUAACUUAGUUUGUUAGGAUUAAGUCUGCCUGAUGUCAUGCAGACUGGGAAACACAGGUUACUAUUUCUUAUUUGUUUUCUGAAUGUGAUCUGAAUUUCCUUUUAAAUUUCUGAGUUUGAAACUAAAUUAUUGGUGUUUUUUUAGUAACAUCAUGAAAUUAAAAUCUCAAACUUUUGUUUUGGCCAUGUGUAUUAAGCGUUUAGCCUUUCAGGUAGUUGUGCAUGCCAAAGCACUUAUGCAGAUAUGAUGGGAAAAACAUCAGCUCUUGAGUAACCAAAACCUGUAUCAGUCAGGUGUCUCUUCCUUCCAAGAUUAGUGUUUCAUGUUUCUAUGUAAAGAACAACAUUCUUCCUGGAAUGCUCCCCCCCCCUAGGGGAGAAUAGCAAGGAGAAAUCUGGGAAAUUCAUGCGUGAGAUACUGGAAUGUCUUUUAAUUCAUUUGUCUUGAGGACAGUGCUAAAAUACACUGUGCUAAGAGUUCAAUGACUUUGAGAUCUGAGUUCCAGCUUGCCAGUGGUUUUACCAUUGCAAAACCUUGGAAAGUUGAAGAGGUUUUUUAUUGUUGUUGCUGUUCUGAUUUUAUUUCUCAGGUUUCGUGUUUUUCAUUUGAUCAGGGAAAACAAGUAUUACUCUUAUUCUCAAUAGUCUUAUAUUCCCUUACACUAUAUCAGCAUGAAGCCAUUAAUUGAUGUUGGCAUUACAAAAGGAGCCCUUUUCCUUUCCUGUGCUUGGAUCACCUGUGGAUUAUAGCCCUGCAGCUGCACUGUGCCCCUAAAAGUCCUUAAGCUGCUCUUAAUGUUUCCACAUGUAUGGAGUUUGGUUGUAGGAACAUUAAGCAUAAAUGCAUUAAAAAUAAUGUUUACAAUAGCAUGGUCUGUCACUCUUUUCUGUAAGUUUAGCAUAUAACAAUAUUCUCAUUCUGUUUUCCUAGCACUACUUCUGUAACAGGAUUUAUUGUAUUUUGAGAAUAAAAUCUGUUUUACAAACUUAAUAUCUUAUGAAUACUGUCAUAAAACAAGUAUUAUUUUAGUCUGAAUUGACCUUAAGCAUGUUGAAGUUGUUGUAAAAUCCUGUUCAAGCUUUCUCUUCUAUACUUCAGUCCAUUCAAAAAAACAGGGUGUUAGACUUCCAAGUACUGACAGAAGUGCUUGUUAAUUUCAUAGAAAACAUCCAAAAAGCUCAUGGAAUUUUUGCCUUGGGGAAGCAUUUGUUUUUCUUGUUUGAUCAAUUAAACACUGCUUUUCAGGGUGUAUUGUAACAUCAGGGAUGAGAAUAACCAGAAACACCAACAGGCUGCAAAAAGUUUGGGUCAAUCUCUGUGCUCAAGUUAUAUGUUUGGAGAGCUCAAGUGGUGAUGGGGGCACAAACUGAGAGGUCUUAUGCAUAAUUUUCCUUGAAACUACUCAUACUGAAGUGUUUUGAGGAGAUAAAAACAGCUUUCUUCUGAUGAUGUUGGUGUUGAAUGGCAAGGAAUAACAACAACAAAAAUCUGACUUCAAUAUAAGGGAAGGAAAUUUUAAAUAGAAAUGCUACAAAUAAGUUAUUGUGGUGCCAGAGAAAGCAUUAGGAAACUUUUCAGCUGAGAAGGAAUGGAUGUGAAGAGCACACAAAGUCUUGAGCUGAAUGAAAACGUAGUUAGAAUGAUCUGAUUCUGACAAAUUGAUUUUGACAGAACACAAUUUCAACAAUAUUCUGUGAAAUAUUUAAUGAUGCUUAUUAUUAUGUAUAGUAUUACAGUGUAUAUAAUGUACAAGUAUUAUAACUCAGAUAAAUUGUGUUCACUUUGUAUGUUUUAUUUCAAUGUUUGUAUUUUAGAUUUUUUUUUUACAAUAGUACAUAAAUGUUAAAAUGAUGUGAAGUUGCAGAGAAGCAUUUUUGUAAACCUGAAGUAAACUGUUGAUUUUCAUGUAUUUCAGUCUCGCAUAGAAGCAAUGAUUACAGAUUUUGAAAUCUUGGAGUUUCCUGUGAGGUAUAUCUCAGGUGAGAAAUCACCUCAAUUUUGGAAAGCUUUUAAAAACAUGCUUAAUUUCUUGUUCUGGAGAGAGAGAGAGUUUGAGUAGGUAUUCAGUGCUGUGCUUGCUCAUCUGAAAGCUCAAACAAGAGUGUAGAAGUUGUUGAGAAGGAAGCUCAGCUCUUGAGAAAACUAGGACAAAUCCUUUUUGUGUUAUACAGAAUCACAGGGGACCUCAACAGACCUUCGAGUCCAACCCCCUGCUAAAGCAGGUUCCCUACAAUAGGUCACUCAGGUAGGCAUCCAGACGGCUCUUGAAUAUCUCCAUAGAAGACGACUCCAAACCAUCCUGUGCAGCCUGUUCCAGUGCUCCAUCACACCCUUACUGUAAAGAAGUUCUUCUGCAUGUUAGUAUGGAACUUCCUAUAUUCAAGUUUUAGUCUAUUACUCCUUGUCUUAUCAUUACACAUCACCGAGAAGAGCCUGGUCCCAUUUGCCUCCCACAUCUCUUUAGAUAUUUAAGAACAUUAUUCAGAUUCCCCUUUGGUUGUCUUUUCCCCAGGCUGAAAAGACCGAGAUUACUCAGUCUUUCUUCAUACAGGAGAUGCUCCAGGCCUUAUAUUGUGUUUUUGGCCCUCUACUGGACUCCUUCUAGGAGAUUCUUGUCUUUUUUGAACUGGAGAGCCCAGAACUGGACACAACAGUCUAAAUGUGGUCUCCCCAGGACAGAGUAGAGGGGGAGGAUAACAUUCCCUGAGCUGCUGGCCAAGCUCUUUUUAAUGCACUCCAAGAUACUACUGGCCUUCUUGUCCACAAAGACAUGCUGCUGGCUCAUGGCCAACAUGUUGCCCACUAGGACAUCUGGGUCCUUCUCUGCGGAGCUCCUCUCCAGCAGGUCAGCCCCUAACCUAUACUGAUGCACUGGGGUUCCUUCCUUCCUGCAUGGAGAGAAGAGGACACUUCAUCUGGCUGAAACCUCUGUAACUGAAAGAUAUUAAUUGUGUAUAGGAGGUUCCCAGCUGCUUUCUCAAUGUCAUGGAAAAAAAAGGAGGGAUAUCUACCAUGUAGUACAAAAUCUAUUUACAAAAAUAGAUCUUACAAAAUUUUGCAGAUGUGUAAUUUCAGACAGCACGGUUCCUUUCAUUUGUACCAUUUACAGAUAUUGCCUUCACAGUCACAAAGACCUGAAGUCAAUUCAGCACUUUUUCUUUUUAAAAGGUCCAGUUGAGGAAGUGCAUUUAGGGAGACUGAUCAUGUUUUCUGUCUUUAUUUGAAUGGCUUGUUGGUAGUGUGUCACCAGUAAUUUAAAAUAUGAGAUGUGGUCUUCAAAGAUUGAGUGUAUCCACCUGUGAGCUUCCUCUGUUGACUUCAUACCCACAUUUUUGUAUCGGUUAUGUUAAGGAUGAUACUGGAGCUGAAGGUGGCUAGAAGAAUCACCGCAUGUAUUUUCACUUCCUCUCUCCAUUAGGUAGGAGAAACUCAACCCUGCACUCCCUAGCAGCCCUGUGGUUGCUGUGGGAGUGUAACUGAUGCGCCUCAUUAGAGUUUGAGAUUGUUUUAAAACCAUACCCCCCUGUCCUAUCACUACUGGACGAUGUAAAAAGUUGGCCCCCCUCCUGUUUAUAUGCUCCCUUCAAGUGCUAGAAGACUGCAAUGAAGUCUCCCCAGAGCCUUCUCCAAACUAAACAAUUCCAGCUCCCUCAACCUUUCUUCAUUGGAGAGGUGCUCCAGCCCUCUGAUCAUCUUCAUGGUCUUAAGAAUGCUUUGGAAGAUUUGGACCUACGGUGUGUUGUCUGGCUUACAGUGUAUCUGAAGUUCAUCCGAAAGUUGGAAGGGAUCACAGGAAGUCAUCUAUUAUAGCUAAGAGAUAACAAUGUAAAUCAGUUUUUGUGGCAAUUAAAGUACGUGUGAUGAAAACAGAGAUGCAUGUUUAGAUUAGUCAGUUACACUAGAUAUGAUUGGUGCUGAAAUUUCAGUAAUUGAUUGCCAAAUUUGUUUCUGUUCACAUUCUGGGUGAAUAUUUGGGAACGUGAGAAGAAUCAUUAGAAGUACUUCUUUCAACACAUACCAGGGUAGUGAUUAGCAAAACAUCUGAAAACACGCUUUGCAGUCCUCCAUAGAACUGGCUGCUUGCUUGGCUCAAUAAUUUCAUCUUAGGCUUUGUCAUAUUUUGUCUUUCCUCCGUUAAAAUUCUCCUGAUCUCCUAGAGUGACAUUUUUCCACCUUUUUUUUUUUUUUUGUCCUACCCUCUUAUGCUGGAGACUAACAUGAAUUAUAUGAUGGAGUCAUAUCAGUAAAAUGGAUCAGUAAAAAUAUUCACUCACUUAGAUAUUCACACAUCAGAGCAGCAUUUUGAAUGGUUAUUUUAACCAUGCAGAACUCUGGUGGGUACCAAAGAAAAAUGAAUUGACAAGGAUCUAUAUUAUUCACACAGUUAUCUUUUCUGUUUUGCUUAUGGCAAGACCCAGGAUUAUAAUUUAUCAUAGUUCACUUCUGAAGUCUGGUGUUGUCAUGUAAAGCCAAACAGAACAGAUGUUGUUAUGAUGAUGAUUAUUAACACUAUUAUUGAUGGUGUUUACAAACUAAAGCCUGUUUAGGAGAGCACUCGCAUACUUUAGUUCCAUGGAGCUGAGAGGAACUCUGAGCUCUCCAUGCUUGUUUAAUUGUUAUUCUAAACAGGGAUAAACCUGAACAUAUGUUUAAGUGCUUCACUGAACUGGAGCCUUUUAGAGAUAGGAAAGUCUCAUUUUCUUCAUGAGACAAACCUUUGUUCAUUCCAGCUAGACCUUGCAGGCAUAAAUCAAGCUGAAAAACCAGAGAAGUAUCUCCCUGCAUAAAUUCUUGGAUUGCUUAAACUCAGCACCUAAUUACAGAGCUGGUGAACCUAGAUACACUGAAGGCGGUUUGAAAGGCUGCCUGAAACAUCAUGGGCUGAGAUGCCUUUGUCGGGAGCAUUGUGCUAUGAUGUGUAACGUGGGUAGAUUCCUGUGGGAUGUUGACAGUUUGUGGGAAAUGCAUGUAGGAGGAACUGGGUUACAAAGACCUGGGUUUUUUCUUUAAUAUUUGUUCCCUCUCAUGGUACUGUUUGUGGUCCUGGGGAAUUUUUCUGUUUUGUUUUGUUCUCUUUUUAAGGUAGGGGGAAGGAGGAUCUUCUGUUUUUGGGAAAACCUUCUCAAUAAAUGCUGCACAUCAUGAGACACUUGUUCAUGGAGAUUUGAUAGUACAUGGAGCCUUCCUUCCCAAAAAGAUGCUAGUUGAUGCUCCUGAAAGCUAUCAUGUUCCUUUUUUGCUCAUGUCAUUUAUGUGGAGUGAUGAUCAUUUGAUAAGCCAUGGAUUUAUGUAAUAAAUUAAUUAGCUCUGCAGUAUUCCCCCAGAUUUCUGCCUGCCAGUCUGUUCCCUGUGGGACUUAUUCAGUUUUUACAAACAGUAACAAAUAGCUCUCAAGAUUCUUAUUUUAUUUUAAGUCAUUUGUAAGGAAAAUGUUUUCUCCUCUUCCCACCAGAAAUGGAAUUUCCUCUCUCCCCCUUUAUUCUGGCCUGAGGCAUUGGGUGGAUGAGAUUCACUCCUGCACUGUCAGCGGGUUCUCUGCAUGCAAACGCAUGGAAUGUAUGUUCAAUAGCUUGCAGCAAUGCAAGGAUAGCACCAGAAGCUUUGCCAUUGGAAAAAGAUGAAUCUUACCUCCAUGAAAACUUGUGAUUCUUACAUCUAAUGUCAGCAGGGCAUCAGAUAUUGUGUUUGAAGUUGUAAUGCCUUCAGGUAUAGAAAAACAAUUUUCAUGCUAUUCUUCCUCCCUUACUACCCUUUUCCUGCCCUUUCUGUAUUGAAUCGGCAUAUGAUAUCAGACCAACAUCUGUUUUAUCUAAAGAAGGUACAUGUAACUUCUUGAUAAUUAUUUAUUUAACUUAAUGGAUUUGCAUAUUCUUUAUUAGAGUUUGGUCCAUUUUAAAUCUGCUAGAAUUAAGAGCUCUAGAGAAUAUUUUUUUAUUUGUGUUGUGUAAAAAAAAAAAAACCAAAACCAAAAAGCAGUCUUUAUCGCUUAUAAUGGAUUUUUUUAUCAUGUAAUGUUUCCAAUUUCUGAGUGACAGAAAUGUUGAAUAGAAAUGUAGGAGAUUUCAUUUGUAUUAGAGUCAUUAUAUUGCAACCUCUAAUAUAUUCCACCUUAUUUUGCCUUUAAAUUAAAUGGACUUAAUCCCUUUUAUCUUUUCAUAUAGAAAAUCUUCUCUACUUAUUUUAAUUAUUUUUUAUCACAAUCUCCUGUUUCUUUUAUAGAAGCACUGACCGAAUCUGAAUGCAGCAUCUCAGCUGACAGUGUAAUAUUCAUUUACCUAUCACAUUAUGCUAUUUAUAAUGUAUUUCCCAUCCUUUUUCUAAUGCCAUAUGAUAUAUCAUCUGCCUUUUUUUACAUUUUAUUUUGAUGACAUAUUCUACAGAAGUACUCCUGCAGACCUGUCAUUUGGAGUCAUAUGGCCAUUUUUCAGAGUGCCACAGUUUAGAAGCCAGAAAAGUGUUUGAAACUUCCCAAUCACUCCUGCUAGUGCUGUUUACUUUUUAUUUAUCAGUAUGCACUAUACUCCCCUUCCCCUCACCCCAUUAGAGUCCCCUUUAUGUUUUUCAUCAAUUUUGACCAGUACUUCAUGUGCACAUGUGCAUUUGUGUGUGUGUAUUCUGCAGGUAACCUCCCUUUACACUUAGCCCUUCCUUGCGUUCAUUCCUGUCAACAGCACUGCCAGAAGACAGGAGACGCCUAACCCAGGCCAUUGAGCAGAAAAAUACUCAAGCAUUUUAAAUGACGGUGCAGCAUUCAGAGGUCCAGCUCAAGAGAUGUGAACUACCCCACCACAGAAGCUUCCCAGGCAGCAUGGAAGGAAAUUUCUGGAUGACAUUUUGGCUCUACUGAGGUCGGCAGCUGUUUUGCUACUGGCUACAAUGAAGCCAGAAUUUAAUUCUCUUUCCCCAGAACAGAAACUAAGAAGCAGGGUUAAUACCUGGGUACGGAACUGAGGGAGUUUUAUGGUUUGGAUAUCAGGGACUUGUUCUUGGCUCAGAAUAUUAUGGGAUGAAACAAGGAUGGAAACAAUAGAAGAAAAAUCAAUGAUUAUUUGAUUGAUUCCCUGGUGCUUUGGAAAAGAUAGGAAAUUAUGAUCAGCGGUAGCUCAUAUGUGACCUUACGGCAAGAUUUACAAGAGCCCUCCCACACAUGACAUUGAGAGAAUGCAUUUGACAACUUUUGCUCUCAUUAAAACAAAAUAAAACAUAUCCAUGAGCAAAUUCAGAAAGGUCAAUUUUGAAAGGAGAAAGUUUAAGAGCAGCAAACAUUUGCUCUCAGAAGACAAACAUUUAAGUGCCCUAAAACGCAGGACACCCUGAGAAAUUCCAAUACUACAUGCAGCGAUGAAAAUUGCUGCAUUCUCAGCAACAUGAUGAAGUGUAUUAGGUUAUAGGUAUAAGAAUGCGACAUUGGUAUGGCAUUCAAAGGAACUUAGAAGUUACAGUUUGUAUCCAGUCUGUGAAGUUUUAGAAGUAUGGAAAGAGUAAACAGAAUUCCCAUUUAGUGAAGGUAUACAUGAAAAUAUACAUUCUAGCAAGCAACACUGUUACACUUGUCUAGUCAAGUGGGCAGACCACAAACCAAUUCAGAGAUGCAAAGCAUGAGAAAUUAUGUACUAUGUUUGUAAUAAUGAUGUAAUAAUGUACAAACUUCUAUUACAGAUGUUAGCUUUUUUCUUUUUUCUUUUUUUUUAGUCAAAUAUUGUUAUUCAUAGAGAUAAUGUAUAAGCUAAAAGUGUCCUGGCCCUACAAAAUGUAAAGAUGGCUUCUAGGAAACUGCAUGGGUAUCAGAGCCCAUCAUCUCUUAUGGGAUGGCUCAUCCAGUGGAAUGCAGUGCCGUUCUUCUCAUUGGAUCAUAAAUAUUGUUUACUCUGAGAAUUACAGGAAGCUUCUUUACCUUAGCAUUCUCCCACGUUAAUAUCAGGCUAAUCUCUCUGAUAUGUCCUUGUGUUACCUGUAACGACUGACAGUCAGCAACGUCUUCUGGGUCUCCCAUCUAUGGUUUCUGGCUGAUAUUUUUUCCUGUGAAAUAAAUCAGGGAGUCAAAUUUCAGCACUGUCCCCUCGUUCAGUUGUUACGGUACAAUUUUAUACUCCUUAUGUUGCAUUGCAACUUUGGGGGGAUUUUACCUAUGUUUUGAGUCAUUUGAUCAACAAAUGAUAAAUUGAUAUGAUCUGCAGAUACUUUCAGUCUAACGUGUCACAAUAACUAUGGCUAAUUAUUUAAAUUGAUAGCAAACAACUUUAUAGGACUUAUUUUCCGUGAAUUUGUUUUUAAAUGAUACAUAAUUAUCUUAGACUGGGAUAAGUGGUUAACUGACAAGCAAAUUCAUUGAGACAAAUGUCUCAAACCAUGAUCUCUUUUCUAGGAAAGGAAAUGCUACAGUAAAGCUAGUAGUGGUUGUAUAAGCAUUUUAUGGACCAAAGAUUCUAGAUAGGAAAGUUUCAGCAUCAGUGAUUCAUACAUGAAGUUGCAUGCUAGCAGGCUGUGUUGCUUGUACUGUGAAACUGGAAUAUUUGUUUUGGAAAGGCACAAAUCCUGAAGCUGUAAUCACUCAGCCACUUCUUUGGUUACCUAGUUGUUUCUAGCACUAAAAUGCUAUUUUUUUUUUUUUUUCUGUACUUGUAUGCAUGACUUGUUAAUGGCAAAUUAUGAUUACUCCAAAUUUGUAUUUAAAGAUUUAUAUAUUUGUAGGGGCACAGGUGACAUUUAAUCAGAGAAGGAAGCAAUUGGAGUUUCUCAUUCUCUGCCUACCAAAUCUUGAUGCUACCCAGCUGCAAGAGCCUCUUACCAUUUCCCUUGCCCCACAGCAACAAAUGAGCCCAUUAGGUAAUUUUUCCUGUUAAAAUAACCAGCUGACAUCCUCACAUUUUAAAAAGAGAGUCCAUUUUGUCAAGGGACUGCAUCCACAAUACACAAUGGAAGUGAGUUUAGGGGAGACUUCAGUAAAAAGGAGACUGCGCUGUGUAGAGGGAUAGUCCCGAUGAGAUUAAAUGGAGAUGAGAGCAUGAAGGUUGUCUCAGUGUAAAUAUGAACAUAUGAGAAAAGACUGUGGAUGGCACCAAGUUGUACCAGAUGACAAGAGGAAAACAUGACUGGGACAAUAGUGUUACCAACUUCAAAUCUUUUGGAAAAAAAUAGAAUGGAUGUGAUGAGAGAGAGAGUGUGGAAAGAUGUCUGAUGGUGUGCUACUGAAUGAGUGUGUGGGAGGGUCUAAUUGUUUUUAAUUUGUACUAAUGAUGUUGUUUUAAGAGUGACUUAGUGGCAUCAGGUUCCUUCCCGAGCCAAAAGGAAGGAGAGAGUCCCUCCUGCAGCCCAUCAUUUCCCAUAGUGGCUUGUGGGAUCUGUGGGAUGCAGAGAGUUGCUAUCCCAGGUAAGAUGCUCAAGAUGAGACCCUCAGAGGCAUCACAGCAGCCUGCCUUCAGAACAGACAGUAAGCUGCAGCAUCUCACUGUGCCAGAACUGUGACCAUACAUCUCCGAAGUAACAUUGGCCUCCCUAGGUGAGCUGGACUGCCAGCAUGGUCACAGUCAUCCCAAUGGAUUGUCACUGGUGGGUGGUCCUUAGAGCACCACUGGGCUCUGCCCUCCUGGCCCAGGCUUUGCUCCCCUAAAGCAGGAAAAUCGGGUGGCUAUGGGUGUUCUGCAACUCCUGAGAAAUACUCUCCCAAUUUUGGAUAGGUCAUCACUAUGCUUUAAUUAGAAAUGGUAUUGUUUGAAGAACUCUGCAAGAUGUUAUCCAUGGCUGAUAGUAUCAAGUAUCAAGUAUCUAGUAUCAAGAAACUAGAGAGUUAUGAGACUGGCCCUUACAUAAGGAUUUUUUCAUCGGUCCCUUUGCAAUCCUGUGCCUUCAGAGAGUAAUGGUGCUUGUUGUUACUAUUUUUUAUUAAAUUCAAUGCAACCUAUUUCAGAGUGCAAUCUGUUUUUCAAUUUCUGGUGUGGCACCAUUAUUUGUACUAAAGAAAAUUUCAAUAUAUUGUAAAAAUUAUUAUAAAAAUAUUAUAAAGUAAAUUAUUAAAGAAUGAAUUAUUAGACUUUCUUACAUAGUAUUUUAAUAAAUAAUUAAUGAUUGCAAAAUAUUGCAUGUGAAUACUUUUGCAUCUGGCUGGAGGGGGAUGGCAAGGAUUUUUAGCAGCAAUGAAAAAUUUGAGUUGGUGAUUUUUGUAGGAAAACUGAGGAUUUUUUUUUUUAUAGAAACCUCACAGUACUUCAGUUUAGACACAGUUUUGAGGUGAAGAUCUACAACAGCUGUCAGAAUUGGUU
ensembl:lncRNA